rnacentral:rRNA from 1 species
CCUACGGGAGGCUGCAGUAGGGAAUCUUCCACAAUGGGCGAAAGCCUGAUGGAGCAACGCCGCGUGGGUGAAGAAGGUCUUCGGAUCGUAAAACCCUGUUGUUAGAGAAGAAAGUGCGUGAGAGUAACUGUUCACGUUUCGACGGUAUCUAACCAGAAAGCCACGGCUAACUAAGUGCCAGCAGCCGCGGUAAUACGUAGGUGGCAAGCGUUAUCCGGAUUUGUUGGGCGUAAAGGGAACGCAGGCGGGCUUUUAAGUCUGAUGUGAAAGCCUUCGGCUUAACCGGAGUAGUGCAUUGGAAACUGGGAGACUUGAGUGCAGAAGAGGAGAGUGGAACUCCAUGUGUAGCGGUGAAAUGCGUAGAUAUAUGGAAGAACACCAGUGGCGAAAGCGGCUCUCUGGUCUGUAACUGACGCUGAGGUUCGAAAGCGUGGGUAGCAAACAGGAUUAGAUACCCUUGUAGUC